GGGCUUGUGGUCUAGUGGUAUGAUUCUUCCUUAGCAUAGAUGUCUGAAGAUCACCAUCGUGUGGUUCUCUAAUUCUGUACUUAACCUGGAAGAGGUCCGGGGUUCAAUUCCCCGCGAGUCCA